AUGUCUAGCUCAACUUCGGCCUCCCACCAAUCAUGGCCACACUACGGUCCAGUGUCAUUGACAAGAUGCCCCGAUUGCCCGCGCAUUGAGCCUCUGAAGUGUUUGACUUGUGUGAAGGAGGAAAAUGGUAACUGUGGGCGCGAGUUUGUCAAAUGCUUGAGCAAGCCACAACUGGGGCAGGUUCUGAAGAAAUGUGGACAUUUCGAGUGGCUCGAUGAGUACGUUGAGAGGUUGAAAUUGGAGGCUUCAACACAGGAGCUCAAUUUCAAUUUUGGGGGGCAGCUUGGUGUGGAACACACCUCACAUUUGGGGGCAGCUUGGUGUGGAACACGCCUCACAUUUGGUGGACAGAGCCGAUCCGAUGAUGGACAGUGCUGA
rnacentral:rRNA from 1 species